CCAGGUUACUAGUGAUUAGUAGCAGAGAAAAUAAUGAAGCAAAUAUGAGAUAAAAUAUGUAUCUGUGACCUGAAUAAAAUAUUUAUAAUCAUAAAUCUUUAUAAAUAAAAAAAAUAUAUAUUUAUAUUAAGGAUUAUAAACUCAUCCAAUGAAAUUGCAUUUUGAAUGACGUCAUUACGUUUUCCGCUAUCGCGGCAAAUUACAACGCAGUGCGCGUUCCAGAUCCUUUUUUUUUUCCGUGAACUUGAGAGGAGAGCAGAUGGCUGUCGCUGAUCCAAGAGAUUUAGUGCUUCAGAAUUGAAAAUAAAUGACGACUGAGAGAAAAGCAGGGUGUGUCUGAGGGUGAUAUCUUCUAACGUGGAUCAUUGGGAGUUUUCUGGAUUUAUCAUAUACAUUUGAAUGAGUUUCCUUGGCCAGGUUUUUUUUUUUUGUUGUUUUUUUUCUCUCUCCUUGCUGUUCCAUGUGAUGUUCUGUUGAUGCUCAUCUACUGCAUGUGGCCUGUUCUGGAUACGGAUCAAGUGAAGUGUGAACCUUUUCCUGGAUCGUGAACUGUCUCAACUCUCUCCUGUGCGUGUAACGGUGGAGUUUGGACUGGCGAGCCACCCAUUGGCUGAAGGUUGAGAACAUUCCUGUUUUGAAAGAGCACCGAAGUUGAACUUGUUCAUCUUCAAAUGGUAGGAGUGGAAUUUUAGACUUUAGAGACAUUGGAUUUCAUUACUUCCUGGAUUCUUGGACUAAAUUUAUGAACCGCCUGUUUUUUUUGUUUUUUCCUUCUCAAAGAAUGAUUCUGAUUUGUUUGUUGCAAGCAGUGGACUCUUGUUAAAUUUUGAGGUGUUCAGACUGAAUGAAAUUUUGUUUAUUGGGUGUUUUAAUAUCUUUCAGAAACUUUCUUGAGGUUUAUGGGUAAAUAAUCGCUGAACAAUUAAACUAAGAUUUAAAUUUAGGAACAGAACAUAAAAAAAAAAGAAAAGGUUGAUUAUAAAUUAAUGAUAAACUGCUUUAAAAUUUAACCUGUUGAAUUCGAUAUCAACGAGGUAGAAAAACAGAAGGGAAACGUCCAUUUACUUUCAUGAGUUAUAUUGCUAUAAGUCUGUAAGGGAAAAAAAGAACGUGGUACAAAUCCUUAUUAUUGAAUGCAACUAACUGAGGUUAUUGUAUACUGAGUGAGGAAACAAAACCGUUUUUUUUUUUUUGUUGUUGUUGUUAAUUCACUGUUAAAAUAUAAUCUUUCUUAUUCGUACCUCAA